GUCCACGCCCUAAACGAUGUCGACUAGUUGUCGGGUCUUAAUUGACUUGGUAACGCAGCUAACGCGUGAAGUCGACCGCCUGGGGAGUACGGUCGCAAGAUUAAAACUCAAAGGAAUUGACGGGACCCGCACAAGCGGUGGAUGAUGUGGAUUAAUUCGAUGCAACGCGAAAACCUUACCUACCCUUGACAUGGUCGGAACCUUAGAGAGAUCUAGGGGUGCUCGCAAGAGAACCGGCGCACAGGUGCUGCAUGGCUGUCGU
rnacentral:rRNA from 1 species